UUGGUUCCAGCAAAACAGGCCUUGUUCUUUUCUUUCUUCCGUAUUUACAAGAAUGCGAAACCGAUCUGCGUGCACAUUUACUCCAUGACGACCAGGGACCAACUUCACAAUCGACUGAAAUUGUAAAUGAUACCCACUUCCGACAGCGGUCAAAUACAAAUGCCUUCAAGAUCAUAAAGUUAACGAGUAUAUAUAUAAAUGUUGAAGCAUGCUAACGAAAAUGGAACGUGACAAGACGUAUCCAGAAUUUUUU